rnacentral:rRNA from 1 species
UACGUAGGGGGCAAGCGUUGUCCGGAAUCAUUGGGCGUAAAGAGCGUGUAGGCGGCCAGAUAAGUCCGCUGUGAAAUCUCGAGGCUCAACUUCGAGCUGUCGGUGGAAACUGUCUGGCUAGAGUCCGGAAGAGGAGAGUGGAAUUCCUGGUGUAGCGGUGAAAUGCGCAGAUAUCGGGAAGAACACCCGUGGCGAAGGCGGCUCUCUGGGACGGUACUGACGCUGAGACGCGAAAGCGUGGGGAGCGAACAGG